CAAAAGUCUGUUUUAAAAUCAUAUGGACCAAUAGACAAUGUAUAUUCACUUCUAGAUCUUAUCCAAGCUUGAUGUUAAAAGGUAUUGGUCGUUGGUAUUAGUAUUCUAGCUGCAAUGGAUUAUAUACAUUUAAAAUUCAAUUACAUAGGGCGUAUACAUAAUGACAUAAGGUUUGCCUGCUUUACAAUAAUUGGUUAUCUAAGAAAAAAUAGGUGGUAACUUAGUAUUAUUCGAUAUCUAUGAUUAAAGCCAUACGUUAUGAUGUUUUGGUAAGUUACACACAAAGACCUUCUUGAGACUUCUAAUUAAAUGAAUGAAUGAAUGAUUGCCUAUAGAAAUGUGAACCUUCACAGGAAUUCAGGCUUACAAGGCUAGGUCAAAGGUUAUUAUCAACAGGGUCCACAAGUCUCCAUCCAUCAUUCUUGACUUAAAACCAUAUGUGUGUAAAUUACAGUAUGUGUAUAAAUUACAUUAUGAUAGUAAUCUAUCUGGGUAGGCCCCUCGAUGUCUGGAUAUGCUUAAAAUAAUAACUUACAAUAUUUCUAUAUUCCUACAACACGUUGAAUACAUUUAAAGUUCAUAAAAAUAUUUUUCAAGUUCCCCUUUGAUGCUUUUUAUGUAAAUAUAAUGCAUCAUAAUUUAUUCCAAUUCCUUGUAAAACUUUAAUUUUGUAGUCAGGAAUUUACAUCUGUAUUCCACAUCCAUCAGUUGAGACCGUAAACGAUUGAUUCUUUUAAACAUAUACCAACUAAAGAAGAAUAAAACCAUAAUAAUAAUAAUUAUCAAAAUUACCAAAGGAUGAGUUAUGAAGUGUGUCAUACCCAUAACUAAUCCUGUCUUUUGUCCCCCAAACCACCGUUGCCACCAGGAUGUGGUUUCUUCGAUAUAAUCAUGUUUAAUGCUUUUAAUCAUACCUUGCACUGUAUGUAUUUGUACUAAAGUGUUAUGUACUCCAGUCGCAGCUUUAUCAAUAACUUGUAAUAACUCUUCAUUGUUCUUUAACUGCUUAUAGAAAUCAACUCCGUAACCUAUGUUUACAUUAUAUAAAGUACGUUGAUCAUAUUUCAUAAUAGAAUCAGUCCUUUUUAGUAUGGGUGGUAUUAUGUCAUAAUAUUUACCUUAGCAUUUGUGUAAGGAUUAACAAGUGUAUCUAUUAAGUAGAUUUAGCAAUUUAACCCAUCAUCGUUGACACUUCUCACAUUAAACAUAGUAAGGGUAAGGGUGUUGUCUAUACCAGUAGGUACCACACACCUACUCUCCGUAUUAUUUUGCAUUAUAUAUGUCCGAUCCUUGGUAAUAUUAAUGAUUAAAUCAAUUCGUCCGUCAACUGAUAGAUAUGUCAUACAUGGUUCUUGGUUAUCAUGGAAUAUGAGCGCACCGGAUAUUGCAUCCUCAGAUGUGUCUGCAUUAAUGCAUCCACAAUAAUCAACAUCAGGAGUCUUACAAUAUCUCACUUUACACUCAUAGGGGAAUGCUGUACAUUUAGAAAAAGUAUCUCUAAUAUCACAAUCUGGAGUACCUGUACCUUGGGUAUUGAUUGUACCUAACAUCAUCAUGAUUAAAAACAGUAUGAUGCUAUGCAAU
rnacentral:lncRNA from 1 species